CGGGGCACCACUCGCCGUGCCGGGCCCGGAGCAGGCAGCAGGGCGGUCAGAGCGAUGGAGCGCCCGCCUGCGAGGGAAGGCUGGGAGAGCUGGGCUUGUUCAGCCUGGGGAAGAGGAGCUUUGGGGUGACCGCACUGCGGCCUUCCAGGGCCUCCAGGGAACUACGGCAAGACUGUUGAGUAGAGCAUGUAGUGACAGGACAAGCGGUAGUGGAUUCACACUGAUGGAGAGUAGGUUUAGAUUAGAGAUUAGUGCCAGGAAAUUAAUUCAUGGUGCCAAAGGCUUAUGUCCAAAAAGGAGACAGAAGAGAAUCUGGUUAACGGGAGUCUGGUUCUUGCAUCCUCUGGGUUAAGGUACGAUUGCGUCCGCCGUUCCCAGCCAGGAUCCGAUGGAGUCAGUCUCUUCCUCCCCUGGGAACUGGAACAUGUCUCUUAGAAGGAAAGGCUGAGGGAAUCGGGCCUGCUCAGUCUAGAGGAGUGACCUCAUCCCUGUCAGUGUCCAAAGGGAGGUGUCAGAGCACGGACUAUGCUCUCAGCAAUGGAACAAGAGGAACAGACAGGAACUGACGAGGAAGAACUUUCCUGUGCAGUGACUGAGCACUGAACAGGCUGCCCACGGAGGGUGUGGGGUCUCCCUCACUGGGGACAUUCCACAACAAUCCUGGACCCAGCUCUGAGCCAUGUGCUCUGGGAUGGCCCUGCAGCAGGGAGGUGGGCCACUGUGUUCCCUUCCAACCUGACCCAUUCUGUGAUUCCCUAUUCACUGCAGUGAACUGGGCUUUUAAUAAAUACUGGAUGUCAUUGCUCUUCCCCCAUCCCUUUUAUCAGCAUUGAUUCACUGUUUCAUUUCCUGUAUCAGGAUGUUUUAUAUCUUUUCCCUCUUCAGGUUACUAGGAUCUCCAUGCUUUUAAAAAUCAAGAUAAAAGCCACCCUUUAACCCAAAAAUCCUCCUUAUGUGUCAGAAGCAGGCAUCAGAAAUCAACCACAGCA